rnacentral:rRNA from 1 species
UACGUAGGAUGCAAGCGUUGUCCGGAAUUACUGGGCGUAAAGGGCGAGUAGGCGGCCACUCAAGUCAGAUGUGAAAUAGCCCGGCUUAACCGGGAGGGGUCAUUUGAAACUGAGUAGCUAGAGUGCAGGAGAGGCUAGCGGAAUUCCCGGUGUAGUGGUGAAAUGCGUAGAUAUCCGGAGGAACACCAAAGGCGAAGGCACUGUCCUGGGGAGCAUCUGACGCUCAGGUGCGAAAGCUAGGGGAGCGAACGGG